rnacentral:misc_RNA from 1 species
GAAAUGCGAUAAGUAAUGUGAAUUGCAGAAUUCAGUGAAUCAUCGAAUCUUUGAACGCACCUUGCGCUCCUUGGUAUUCCUUGGAGCAUGCCUGUUUGAGUAUCAUGAAAUCUUCAAAGUAAAUCUUUUGUUAACUCAAUUGGUUUCUACUUUGGUAUUGGAGGUCUUUGCAGCUUCACACCUGCUCCUCUUUGUUCAUUAGCUGGAUCUCAGUGUUAUGCUUGGUUCCACUCGGCGUGAUAAGUUAUCUAUCGCUGAGGACACUGUAAAAGGUGGCCAAGGUAAAUGCAGAUGAACCGCUUCUAAUAGUCCAUUGACUUGGACAAUACUUUUAUGAUCUGAUCUCAAAUCAGGUAGGACUACCGGAUGAACUUAAGC